UCCAGUUUUUAAAAGCCCCCACACCGCCAUCCCUCUCAUUAGCGUUCUCUCUCGUUCUCCAUUCUCUUGCUCCUCCUUUUGGUCUCACAAACAAACUCUAAUCCCUUUUCUCCGUAAGCUCAGAAAAUACCACUUCUGAAGCUAAUGCUCGCUAUAUGUGCUUUGUCUACACCUCUUUUCACAUUAGUAUAUCGCUGUAUAUGUAUCUGUCCUAGCUAGGUUGAACAAUAAAAAUUGAGCUGAAGAAUCAUUGUCUGCAAAUUCAAUCAGUGGUUUGGCUUUUGGAAAGAAGAGGGUGAGGAUUGAUUCAUAUCAGAGACUUACUUACCUUUGUAUUUUGUAUAUUUUUCUUAUUUAUAAUAUUUUGUAAGGCAUUUGUUAAAUUGAUGUUUUUUCAAGCUCAGCCAUCGGCACAAAUGUAUCAUUAUUGGAUCAAUGAUGUUUAGAAACUGCGUUAUCUAUCUGUAAUUUCCUAAAUGGAAUUGAAGAUAAUAAUAACAUUCUGAGAUCCAGUGAUUUUAAAAAUAAUAUUUUGUCAUUGCUAUUUUUCUUCUACAAAUUCUUUUUCCCUGGUUUGAUUUGUUUUUAAAGAGUUUUGAAGGUACUUGUUAUGUACUUGUAUUUUGCAAAUGUCAGAAUGUCAUUAUCUAGCUCCAUAUCAGCUGGAGCAGUUUGUAUUAGUGUCAGUUUUACUUUUAUCGCAUGGAAGUUGCUUAAACAUCUAACAAAGCAUUUUAACACGUCUAGGCCUUGUUUGAUAUAGUAUCUUAAACCUAUGUUUUCAGUUUUUAAACAAUAUUACACAUAUUUUUACACACUUUUUCAUUCACACAUAUUUAAAAAAAAUACAAAUAAUAGUACUCAAACUUCUCUACCCCACGGAUCCAGUGGCUUGAUGAUCUUUUACGUGGCUUUUAUUUCUGUUUCAUAGCAGUUCCACAGGUAUUAUUACCUGCUGUACUUUUUAGGUUUUCCAAACAAUUUUGUAGGUAGAGCUUCAUUUAUUUCUUCCAAUGUAUUCUGGUGUAAAGAUGGGGUUGACUGUAAUUCUGUAAAGACUAUCUCUCUCUCUCUCUCUCUCUCUCUCUCUCUCUCUCUCUCUCUCUCUUCAUAUCCCUGAGUUUGAACUUGGAAGAGGGUUCCCUUGAAAGAAAGAUUCAUGAGUUUAAAGAAAAGUUUUUUAGUUGAAAUGCUGCAACUGUUAACCCGUAAAGUGUUCAUUUUUUAAUAGUGCUAACCUCUAUAAGAUAUGAAUGGAAAUUGCGCCGUUCAAAUUUC